AUUUAUAUAGUUUAACAAAAACUUUACAUUUUCAUUGUAAAAAUAAAAAAAUUUUUUUUUAUAAAUA
rnacentral:tRNA from 1 species